rnacentral:lncRNA from 1 species
CUGUGAAAAACACUUGGCGAAUGAUAUUCACAAGUGGGACAAUAUUACACAGACCUUUAAGGAUUUAUGUGAUCCCUGGGAUGUUAGUAUACCUCCCCUUUCUUCUUACUCAAGAAUAUCAGUGAGUGAGGAUGAAAUUCUUACAGAAAUAAAUUUGAAUCCUCCAUCUGAAUUUAUUUUUAAGUAAAUCCGUUGACAACAAUUAUUAAUCACAAAGUACUUGUGAACCACUUCCCAAAGAAUCACAAGUGUGCAUGCCACAACAGUGCACUUAGAACCACUGACCCAGCUAGAUUGAAUUCUUCUGAAGUUAUUCACACCUAAUUAUAUGUGAUCUGAAUUUUUAGAAAUUCAUUAUGUAGCUAAAUACCAAUACCCAAAGCCAACCGGUGCCAUAAUUUAAGCACUUAAUUUGCCUUAUUACUCUCAUUUUCUCCUACUUGGCUUCCUUUCUCUCUUCUGUAUGAAAGAUUUGACCAUGGAAGAGGGCAGGGUAGCUGGUUAGCUCCCCUGACAGCAGGUACUUUCCUUUCCGGCAGUUGCCGUGUCUUUCAGCCCACCACUGACAAGCUGUUGAUAUGUGGAAGGAGUACCUCAGGUCGACUGUUCCUGCAGCCAGGCUGCUAGUAGUCAGUCCCACGGAAAGCUUAGCCGUCUCUGCCAGGCCUUCUGGUCCACAGAUGUCUCAGGAGCCCCGCCCUUUUGGUUUGUUGCAGUGGGAUUUGCAAAUGAUCAGCCAGUGCACCAGAGUUGUAACCGACCUUAAGGUGGACUUCCACGAAAGUAUAAAUGAUUUAUUCUUUUGGAUCUACAUUCGUCAGUCUUGAAAUGGAGAAAAUAUAGAAAUUGUAAGCGUUAUGGAUUUGCUUGUCUGCAUUCUAUUAUAAAGCAAUCCUUGCCCGCAUUUAAAGAUGUAUUUAAAGAGACUUUAAAUAUAAACAGAUUCAUAUGCAUGUGCAUACAGAAAGGAAGAAAGGAAAAAGGAGGAAAUGUUAUGAGAUUUCCUAAUUUUUUUCCACAAAGCACCCCUUCUUACAUGACUAGUGUUUGGAGUGUUCUUUCUUAAAUGAAUAUUUGUUGUCUCUUAUCAGUGUAGUACACGAAGGGCAAAUGAUGCUGCCUUUAUAAUAUUUGUGAAUUUUUUCCUUGGGGUUUGUUCCUGCUUAACCACGAAGUUCCUAUAGUGGCAAUCUGUUGGUUGCUCACACUGUCCAAAAGUAGUUAAGUCCAGAUGCUGGAAGGAAGCAGAAAUUUAGGAUCAAGGUGGAUGCUGUUAAACCAGGGGCCCCUGACCAGGCUUCAGGGUUGGGAAGGAGGGCAAAAAGGAAGGGGUGCUUUCCUUCUUUUGAUCUGGUGUGUUCAUACCUUUCUACACAGUCUAUUCACUUCUAACAUUUCAAGGCAUGUGUAAAUCCUCUGAGGGCUCUUUUGUGACACAUUAUUGUUAUUCACCUAUGCAAGUUUUGACAAAAAUCCCCCAUUACUCCUUCAUCAAAUAAUGACAAACUGAGGGUUAGUUCUGCAUCAGCACUUCAAUUUCUUCAUGAAAAAAUGGCCUCUUUUUCUCUUUAGUUUGUGAGCACCCAGGCCAAUAUCAAGCCGUGUCUUAUUAUACAAAGUCAUCUGGCUUGGGCUGCUUAUUCUGAAUACCAUUUCGGUCUGUGCAGCUCAGACUACAGGCAUUGUUUCCUUGUGUCGCUAUAAAUGGCAGAACAAGGUAACUGAAUAUGUCAAUCUCCUGGUUCUAGCUCUUUGCCAAGUCUGCUCUGAGGUUUAGCCAAACAGCCUCACCAGCUUGUAGAAUACGCGCCUUUGCUAAGCAAAGUCCUACCGUCCCUUUCUGUCUUAUCCUCUUUUAAACCAAUACACAAAUCACAGCUGGCUCACGGACGUGAUAAGCAUUUCACUUUGCAUGUCAAAGAUCGCUAAGUUCUGUGAAGGGCAUCAGGACUCUGGCAUUCCAAGAACUUCCCUAUGGAGGGUUACAAAAGUCUGGCUAUAGUCAGUGCUGUGUCCUAACCCUGAGCAUGAGGGACACAUCUCGGGAACAGGUGCUGGGACCAAAGACCGAAACCGGCUAUAAACUCUAUCAGCCUUUUUCAUGAGAUAUUAAUAAUUUUAGGCAGGAUGGAGGAAAAUGUUGAGAUUCACUGAACUGACAAAUGUCAAAGAAGUGGGGAAAGUAACUGAGUGAUUUACGCGUGGAUCUGUCAUCAAUGGAGUUAUAGAUCAGAUGGCGACGUGGUCGUUUUUAGCGCAGCCCUUGUUGUCCUCCGCUCAGACGCACCAAAUGAAGCGCCUAUUUGCUGACUAGAAAUUCACAGUUGAGGUCCACCGAUGAUGCAGUGCAAAGAAGCCUGUUCUGUUCCUCUGCUCAAGAGUAAGCCAUGCCAACCUUCACCUUUAAAUAGCUCCACAUUUAAUUCUGCUGUAUCUAGAAAUAAAUUUCAGUCAUAGUUCA